AAAAGAUACCAUCACGCCGCACAAUUUUACUCUCAGAUUGAGAUUAUCAUGAGCAAAGAACGACUGUUGAAGAAACCUAGGUUUUUCAUUACGGAUUUUUUGAUUAAAAAACCUCCUAUUUGUUUCGAUGAUACACUUUGUGCUUCUGUAGCUUUCCCCGUAUUUGAUUGCAGUAUUAAUAAACCUUUUGAACCAACCGACGUCCUCUCGCAAUCUCUUACUUGUACUCCUGUUCAAACGAUGUUAACAGAAACCGAUAACGAGGCAUGCAAAGAUAAUUCUCAUCCAGACAGUAAUGAUAUUGCUUGUGUUUUUUCGGGUGACGUAAGAAAUAAUGAAUAUGUGAUAAAACUCAAUGAUUUAGAAAAAAAGAAAUUGAUGACUGAAUAUUGAAUGCCGGAUUCUUCUUUUAAAUAUCCAUAUACAAUGAAGGGUGGGAAGAACCCACAGAAGGUAUACCUUGGUCUCCAACACUUAUUUGGUGGAAGUUAUUCCAGCUUUAAAUUUUCUCCAUCUUUGAAUGGUCUUCUUUGUGUCACUUGUGUUUUUUUUUGCCGAUGAAAUAAGUGGAAAUUUUGCAAAACUGGCACAAUUAGUUAAUAAACCGCUUAGAAAAUAAAGUCAUUUGACAGGAAGUGAUGGACAAUCGACUAACCAUUUAAGCAACCAAUAUCACAAAAAUUCUGUUGUGUUUGGUGAUGAUUUUUUACUAUCAAUGAAUUCAGGUACAAAUAUAAAAAUUAUGCUAAAUGAAAAGUACAAAGCGGAGGUAAAAGAAUUACGCGAACGUUCAGUGAUUCAAUCUAUGGAUGCGCGGUUUUCAAACCACCAGCAACUAGUUAUGAAAAUGUCUGCUCUGUUACCAUCAGUGAUUUCUCAACAUAGUUGGACUGAUAUGGUUGAAACUGUAGGAAUGUUUUCUUCUGUAAUUGGGUAUCGAGACAAGGAAACUAUUCAUAAUGAAUAUUUGGAUAGGAAAGAAUUUUGAUCGUAUAUGCAAAGCCAUCCUUCAACUUUAUUAGCAGCUUUUGACCUAAUUUCUGAUAGAUUGGCAACCACCAAAACACUUCUUUGGAUUUUUUGUGCCAUUCCAAUCACAACAUGUACAGCUGAACGGAGCUUUGGCGCCAUGAAUAUCUUAAAAAGUCCUUUGCGUAACCGUACCAAUGAUGAGCGUUUAACUGGCUUGGUAUUAUUAUAUAUUUAUAUUACCAUACCUUUAGAAAUAAACGACGUUAUUGAUAGAUUUGCAGCAAGUAAGAAGAGACGCUUAGAUUUUGCAUUUUAGAUUUUGUACUUAAUUUAUUUAUUAAACAAAAACCCUAUUAGUCUAAAAAAAAAAGUUAUAUUAUUCCCGAGGAAAUGUAACUAUCUAUAUAAGAAACUAA